CACCAAGUGUGGGACUGACUGUCAUGCCCCGAUCCUGACCUACGUCCAAGAUCGACACGUGACGUCUUUUAGUAAUUGGUGAAGAUCCGGCCGUUGGAUGUCUGGGUGACUCCUUCGGAGUUUUCUACAACUUAAUUAUGAUUUCAUAAGGCAUGAUUCUAUACUUGAUGUUAUAGAUUGUGAUCGAUGGUCCGUUUUUAUUGAAUAUCACAUACUUGUAUUAUUAUCACUCACCCGAGCUCCGCAGCUUAUCCGAGUUCCGUUUGGUCGGUGCACCAUUUUCAUGAUGUAGGCACUGAUUUUACAUACGACAUGUCUGGGUAGAUUUUGAGAAACCACUUAAUAUUUUGGUUCCAUUGAAUGGUCUGGACCCCGAUGUUGUUGGAUUCCGUUGAGUGGUCCGGAAUCCUUACUCUCGCUCAUUUCCAUAAGUUAGACUAGAACCUUGGAUUCGAGUGAACGGGAAUUACCCACAAUAGACCUUGUGAAUAUAAAUUAGAAUUAUCAAGUUAUUACUUGGAAUCCAGGCAGGGAAUUAUGUAGAAUUCCUUUAUUAAAUUUUGUGCAUUGAUGUGUGAUCUGGUUGACUGAUUAACAUAAUUAAAUGUUAAUAUCGUGCCUCCUUGAUUCAAGGAAUGGGUUACUUGAGGUGAUUAUGGAAUGAUGUUGAAUAUGAUUGUUAUUAAUACGAUUAGAGCAGUGACCAAUGUGACUAGAGGAUACUAUUGUGCUUUGUUGAUUCUUUGAUAUAUUACAUGAUAUAAAUUGUGAUUUUAUGUUGAAACAUAAUGAUUUAUAUGAUGGAUGAAAUAGAAACCUUGAUUGUCAUGUGGCAUGUUAUGUAGCUUGAAUCGAAUAAUUCAUGCUUGUCAAGUCCAAAUGUUUGAUUGAGGAAUGUUAUGCCUUUCAGCUUGAGCGGACUGUGAUAUAUGUCGAGUUGUAGCGAAUGACGAACUACAAAUGGCUUGAUCCCUAUUAGGGUACAUAGGCCGUCUAACGAGGAGGUUAGAUGUAACCAUAAAAUAUACAAAAAAUUACUAUACGAUUCGAUUCUUGAGUUAUGCUUCGUACAUAUCCCGAAGGCGGGAUUUGUUGGGUUUAUGGUUACUUAG
rnacentral:lncRNA from 1 species